GUCUCUUUGUAGUAACAAAUAUAAAGAGUCGAACCUGCCCGGUGACUAAGUGUUAAACGGCCGCGGUACCCUAACCGUGCAAAGGUAGCAUAAUCAUUUGCCUUUUAAUUGGAGGCUGGUAUGAAUGGUUUGACGAGAGCUAAGCUGUCUCCUCUAAAAUAUUUAGAAUUUAACUUUUGGGUGAAGAGGCCCAAAUAUAUUUAAGGGACAAGAAGACCCUGUUGAGCUUUAGUAAAUUUGUGAACUUUGAAUACUGUGAAGUAAGUUUGUAAUUUUAUAAGUUUGUUUUUCAAAGAAUCUUUAGUUGGGGCGACUGAGGAACAUAUAAAGCUUCCUUUAAGUUAUUGGUUAUUUGGUCCCUAUAUCCGGAUUAGGUAAUUUUGGCUGAAUAGGUAUGAUCCAGAAAUUUUGAUCAGAGGAAAAAGUUACCACAGGGAUAACAGCGUAAUCUUUCUGGAGAGGUCUAAUCGAAAGAAGGGUUUGCGACCUCGAUGUUGGACUNANAUAUCCUAAGGGUNUAGAAGCUCUUGAUGGUUGGUCUGUUCGACC
rnacentral:rRNA from 1 species